ensembl:lncRNA
CUGGCUUAAAGAGUGAGUUUCCUUUCUUGGUGGCUUUAUAACCAGUUGCUAGCUAACAACAAAAAUUCCAUCUAGGGCAACCCGGGGUGCCGAAAUACAAACCCGAUUCCAAAAAAGUUGGGACACUCUACAAAUUCAAUGCCACUUUUCUUCACUUGACCAAGAUGAAAUUCAGUCCCACUCCAGGCGAUGAAGGUGAUCUGGAGGCCGUCAAAAAUCUUGAGUUUCCACCGUUACUUGUGCACCACUGAAACAAGACCACAUUUCAGUGAAGGCCAGGAGAUUCCCAAAGGACCCGACGGACAUCACUCAAGCCUAUCACAGGAAAAACGUGUCCUCACACCUGCUUGAAUCCUUUUUAUAUUUUGAAGUUCAUAUCCGUCUCUCCUUGACCAAAAAACAUUGCCGCUUUAGAUUAAAACGAAAAGUGCCGGUAAAGUGUCAGUAUUCACACAAAUACAAAAAAAAAAACAGAGACAUUAGACAUCCAGAAAGGAAAUGUAUUGAUUUUAUUGUAGUUGAUUUACAGGAAAAGAACUACGAAAGCAACCAGAAAGUGCAGGAGAGCUACUGCAACUGUAAAUUCAAUAUUAUGUAACUGGUUUAUCCAUUAUUAAUUAGAAGAUUUAAAAUAAAAUGGUGUAUACAAGAGUAACA